ensembl:lncRNA
CAAACUUGCACUAAAAAAAUCUGCGAAACAGCGAGGUGAAAGGUGAACCGCGUUAUUAGCGAGGGACCGCUGUAAUUUUGAAGAUCAUACCCCCCUAUUGAUGAGAUGGGGGUUGGAUGCCUCACUGCCCUCCGCCUCUGGCAGUGGCCCUUUCUACUAAGGAGGCAAGAGUUCUGCAUGUCCUGGUGACCCUCCACCUGUUUCACAGAAGAGGAGAGCCACUGAGGGAACGCCUUCCGCCCUCCGACGCCUCCACCGUGACCUCCACUUCUGAGAGGAAUUGCCCACAGAUCAAGCAUGGAGUGUGCCUGAAUGGACAUACAGAACUCCAAGGUUCGGCCCAGUGUUGAGGGUUUUCCCAAAGGAGAGGGCCCGGCGGGCGGUGCCUCACAGCCCUCUGCCUCUGGGAGUGGCCCCUUUCUACUAAGGAG